rnacentral:rRNA from 1 species
GAUGAACGCUGGCGGCGUGCCUAAUACAUGCAAGUCGAGCGAACAGACGAGGACCUUGCUCCUCUGACGUUAGCGGCGGACAGGUGAGUAACACGUGGAUAACCGACCGAUAAGACUGGGAUAACUGCGGGAAACCCGAGCUAAUACCGGAUAAUAUAGUGAACCGCAUGGUUCAAUAGUGAAAAACGGUUUUGCUGUCACUUAUAGAUCUAUCCGCGCCGCAUUAGCUAGUUGGUAAGGUAACGGCUUACCAAGCCAACGAUGCGUAGCCGACCUGAGAGGGUGAUCGGCCACACGGGAACUGAGACCCGGUCCAGACUCCUACGGGAGGAAGCAGUAGGGAAUCUUGCGCAAUGGGCGAAGGCCUGACGGGGCAACGCCGCGUGAGUGAUGAAGUUCUUCGGAUCUUAAACCUCUGUUAUUAGGGAAGACAAAAUGUGUAAGUAACUAUGCACGUCUUGACGGUACCUAAUCAGAAAGCCACGGCUAACUACGUG